rnacentral:rRNA from 1 species
GAUGAACGCUGGCGGCGUGCCUAAUACAUGCAAGUCGAGCGAACGGACGAGAAUCUUGCUUCUCUGAUGUUAGCGCCCGACGGGUGCGUCACACGUGGAUAACCUACCUAUAAGACUGGGAUCCCUUCGCGAAACCGGAUCUCAUACCCGAUGAUAUUUUGAACCGCAUGGUUCCAAAGUGCAAGACGCUCUUGCUGUCACUUAUAGAUGUCUCCGCGCUGCAUUAGCUAGUUGGUAAGGUAACGGCUUACCAAGGCAACGAUGCAUAGACGACCGGAGAGGGUGAUCGGCCACACGGGAAGUGAGACAGGGACGAGACUCCUACGGGAGGGAGCAGUAGGGAAUAGUAGGCAAUGGGCGAAAGGGUGACGGAGCAAGGCGGCGUGAGUGAUGAAGGUGGUCGGAUCGGAAAACUCUGUUAUUAGGGAAGAAGAGAAGUGUAAGUAACUGGGGAGAUCGUGACGGUACCGAAAGAGAAAGCCACGGCUAACUACGUG